rfam:Myotis lucifugus cont2.18980, whole genome shotgun sequence.
GAGACACCCUUCUGGGGCAAGACUUGCUUCAGUGGGGCUUUGGUGCUCACUGAGUCUUCCCCCUGACUGUGUCCCU